AGUGGCAGACGGGUGAGUAACACGUAAGAAUUUGCCUUUAGGAGGGGGACAACAACUGGAAACGGUUGCUAAUACCCCAUAUGCUUUCGAGUGAAAUGGAUUUCCGCCUAAAGAGAAGCUUGCGGCUGAUUAGCUUGUUGGUAGGGUAAUGGCCUACCAAGGCGACGAUCAGUAUCUGGUUUGAGAGGACGAUCAGACACACUGGAACUGAGACACGGUCCAGACUCCUACGGGAGGCAGCAGUAGGGAAUUUUCCGCAAUGGGCGAAAGCCUGACGGAGCAAUACCGCGUGAGGGAUGACUGCCUAUGGGUUGUAAACCUCUUUUUUCAGGGAGGAAUAAAUGACGUGUACCUGAAGAAUAAGCAUCGGCUAACUCCGUGCCAGCAGCCGCGGUAAGACGGAGGAUGCAAGUGUUAUCCGGAAUCACUGGGCGUAAAGCGUCUGUAGGUGGCUCGGCAAGUCAACUGUUAAAUCUUGAAGCUCAACUUCAAAAUCGCAGUCGAAACUAUCGAACUAGAGUAUAGUAGAGGUAAAGGGAAUUUCCAGUGGAGCGGUGAAAUGCGUAGAGAUUGGAAAGAACACCGAUGGCGAAGGCACUUUACUGGGCUAUUACUGACACUCAGAGACGAAAGCUAGGGUAGCAAAUGGGAUUAGAUACCCCAGUAGUCCUAGCUGUAAACAAUGGAUACUAGGUGUUGA
rnacentral:rRNA from 1 species